AUAAAAGCCAACAACUACCCCGCGGCGCACCGUUGCUUCCUCUCCCUUUCCAUUACCUUCCUUGUCCUUUCCUCCAAUCGAAUUGGUUCUCCAAAUCUUAGGGUUAGGGUUUCGUCUAUUCCGUACCUUCCUCCCAUAUUAGCGCGUCUGGUCCCUGAGCUUGCUUUGCGCGUGGGAUGAUGGGCACUGCCGUGGACCUAGGACGGAGGCAGGGCGGCAGCCGCUUCUACGACGCUGGCAGGGCUCGACGAGGGCACCAUCAUGGCCUUCCCAAGUCGAGGUGCGCGGCCGCCGCCGUUACCCAGGAGAAGGCGCCGGAGGAGUCCUCCCGGUUGCCAGCGUCCCCCGUAGGAGUUGCAGGCAACCUCAAGAGGUUCGUGGCAGCAGUUACGCUGUCCGUGCCGGCGGAGUACCCCUCCGAGAGAGGAGAGUGGAGGGGUUGCGGCGUGGAUGCCAACCGGGAGAGGCCCUACUUCGUUCUUGACGACCUAUGGGAGGCGUACAAGGAGUGGAGUGCGUAUGGUGCCGGGGUGCCGCUCGUUCUUGACGGGUGCGACGGGGUCGUGCAGUACUAUGUGCCUUACUUGUCCGCCAUCGAGCUCUAUGGAGACUCAUCAGUCCUGCAGUCAUCUUCCAACCCAAGGUUACAUAUGAUGGACGACAGUGAUGAAGAUUUCCAUGAUUCCAGCAGUGAUGGUAGCAGUGAUUAUGAACAUGUAAGGGUCAAACACUUUGCUCAGGAAGGCUUCUCAAGGGAUGUUGGUGAAUCUGGAGUUACUCAUGGCCGCUUGCUCUUUCAGUACCUCGAGUUUGAUUCUCCAUUUUGCCGUGAACCUUUGACUGAUAAGAUUUCUAGCCUUUCAGCCAGAUUUCCAGGAUUGAGGACCCUUAGGAGUUGUGAUUUAUCAGCACGGAGUUGGAUGAGCAUCGCUUGGUACCCAAUUUAUCGUAUCCCUACUGGACCAACAUUAAAAGAUUUAGAUGCCUGCUUUCUCACUUUCCAUCAGCUUUCAAAUUGCCCGCAAGGAGAUAAUCUGUGGGCUCCUGAUAGCACACCAAACAUACCACUCCCAGUUUUUGGUUUGGCUUCCUACAAGUUUAGCAACUCAGUCUGGUCCUCAACUGAUGGUGAUUGGAAACUGGCUAGCUGCUUAAGGCAAGCUGCUGCCGAUUGGCUGAGAGACAGCCGUGCCGGCCAUCCAGAUUAUCAGUUCUUUGUCUCCCAUGGUGCAUACAACAGGUAGUGACACCAAAUCUGUGCUUUCUGCAGAGCUCAUGAAAGAAUGUCCGAAGAGUGUCUUGUGAACAUGAUUAAGUUCUGAGUGACUGACUGGUUGACUCCUUCCAAAUCUGAUGCAUGUUACCACAAGAUUUGAAGCUUGGAUGCAUACAUCCAACCGAUGCCCCCUCAACACUGACCUGCUGGAAAAAGAGGUCGCGGCUGUUUCCCCUUCUCAUCUCUUCCACCGCCCCCUUUUGAGAGUCGCUUAUCCCCGGCCGGGCCGAUCUGAUGCCUCGUUCGUCGGCGAUGCUGGCUGGCGAUGGUUGAGGAGAGGUGCCUGGUUCUUCCAUAUGUAUAUUAGAGUAGCAGUAGACUUAGUUAGACUUGGCGUUAUGCCAUGGUGUGGCCUCAUGCCAGUCGGGAUACCUGCUGCUAGACCUUGUGAGCAGAGUCUGGUGGUGGUCGUCGUUGUCUCCUACCUCGCCUCCAUGGUGGAGGGGACUGGUGGACAUUGGAUCUGGCAGUAUCCCUCCCAAUAAGCUCAGUCUGUCCAGCAUCUAGGAGCCACGGUGGUUCCUUCCUCUGUUUCUUGCCGUCGUGGUGAUGGUAGCAGAAAGGUGGAGAGAUCUCGCCUCGGCCUCCUCGUGGUGCUGGGCCUCGCCGGAUCCGAGCUUCCGGCGUAGGUGGUGUUAUCCCCGCAUUUUGGAAAGGGCUUCCGCUAUCUCGUUGGAAGCUGGUGAUGGGGAUCCUGAGCUUAUUCGAUGGUGGAUCUGAAGGAGCUACGACACCGGUCUCCUCCAACAAUCCAUCGAUUCCUCUGGUCGAAGGGCGGCCAUACUUGUUCCUCCCAGCCACGAUGCCAGAAGGAAGGCAGUGCUGUGCCAAAUUGGAGUCUGUGGCUUGCUACAGAGGUCUCGCCGGACCAAGUGGUCUGUCCCAGGCGUCGGCGAUGAUUGUAUCCACUGCGGCACAGCGUGGACCCGAUCGCGUUUUCAGUUUUAUGUUUGGGGUCCUUUCUAUAAGAUGCAGGGAUUUGUUUUUAUUUUCAGCUUCUUUAGUGUCCUUGUUGUAAGCUAUAAUGUCUCUUCGUCAUAAUCAAUGAAGUGCUGGGUCCUUCUGGGCCCUUGUAGUGUUCAAAAAAAAAAAAAUCCAACCGACGAGCGCCCGGCUGUUUUUUAGGGAAUAUGCCGUUGCUUUAUUUAACCAAAGCUCGGAAUGUCAUCCGA